rnacentral:rRNA from 1 species
CAGUAGCCACGGUAAUACGUAGGUGGCAAGCGUUGUCCGGAAUUAUUGGGCGUAAAGGGCUCGCAGGCGGUUUCUUAAGUCUGAUGUGAAAGCCCCCGGCUCAACCGAGGAGGGUCAUUGGAAACUGGGAAACUUGAGUGCAGAAGAGGAGAGUGGAAUUCCACGUGUAGCGGUGAAAUGCGUAGAGAUGUGGAGGAACACCGGUGGCGAAGGCGACUCUCUGGUCUGUAACUGACGCUGAGGAGCGAAAGCGUGGGGAGCGAACAGGAUUAGAUACCCGCGUAGUCCCUGUCUCUUAUAC